CACUUUCCAAACAAGGCAAAGACUCCAGCCUGACAUGCUGAAUGCUUUAUGAGUUCAUCUACCCUGAAAGUCACACGCUUGUCUUCCUAAUGCACCAAAUGGCUGCUGCCUGCAAGGGGAUGAGUCCUCUGGCAGAAGAGUGUGGACCCCACACCUGUGCUGGCUCUGAGGCGGAACAUGAAUGAGGACUCUAGACAGAGAGAGAAACAUAAGCCAAGGAAGAGAUGAUAAGUAGCAAAGCCCUCACAGGAAAUUUCAAAGACUUCAUCAUGAACAGACAUGAGAGGAUACAAUACAGUAGAAUUUCACUUUUUUUUAAGAAUAGGAAUCUUUAGCUGUAUGAAGCUCAAUUGAGAACACAAGUAAUGAACAUCAUUAUU
rnacentral:lncRNA from 10 species